rnacentral:rRNA from 1 species
CCGAAAGCUGGCGACCGGCGCACGGGUGAGUAACACGUAUCCAACCUGCCGAUAACUCGGGGAUAGCCUUUCGAAAGAAAGAUUAAUACCCGAUGGUAUAAUCAGACCGCAUGGUUUGAUUAUUAAAGAAUUUCGGUUAUCGAUGGGGAUGCGUUCCAUUAGGCAGUUGGUGAGGUAACGGCUCACCAAACCUUCGAUGGAUAGGGGUUCUGAGAGGAAGGUCCCCCACAUUGGAACUGAGACACGGUCCAA